UAAUACGUAGGUGGCAAGCGUUGUCCGGAAUUAUUGGGCGUAAAGCGCGCGCAGGCGGGAUAUCAAGUCUGUCUUAAAAGUUCGGGGCUCAACCCCGUGAUGGGAUGGAAACUGGUAUUCUUGAGUGUCGGAGAGGAAAGUGGAAUUCCCAGUGUAGCGGUGAAAUGCGUAGAUAUUGGGAGGAACACCAGUGGCGAAGGCGACUUUCUGGACGAUGUCUGACGCUGAGGCGCGAAAGCCAGGGAAGUGAACGGGAUUAGAUACCCCGGUAAUCCUGGCCGUAAACGAUGGGUACUAGGUGUAGAGGGUAUCGACCCCUUCUGUGCCGGAGUUAACGCAAUAAGUACCCCGCCUGGGGAGUACGGCCGCAAGGUUG
rnacentral:rRNA from 1 species